rnacentral:tRNA from 1 species
GGAGAGGUGCUUGAGAGGCCGAAAAGGACAGUCUUGAAAACUGUUGUGGCAGAAAUGUCACCGUGGGUUCGAAUCCCACCCUCUCCGCCA